rnacentral:rRNA from 1 species
UACAGAGGGUGCGAGCGUUGUCCGGAAUUACUGGGCGUAAAGGGCGCGUAGGCGGCUUGGUAAGUCGGGGGUGAAAGUCAGCGGCUCAACCGCCGGACUGCCUUCGAGACUGCCUGGCUUGAGCAUGGUAGAGGCUGGCGGAAUUCCCGGUGUAGCGGUGGAAUGCGUAGAGAUCGGGAAGAACAUCGGUGGCGAAGGCGGCCAGCUGGGCCAUUGCUGACGCUGAUGCGCGACAGCGUGGGGAGCAAACAGG